UUUAGCUGUUACUAUAUAUUGAAUCUGUAUGAUGGGACAGGUAUUAUAAACGAUGGGCAGAUUGAUCGGUAUGGUGACAUUCAAAUCAUGGAGCACCUUUUAAAACAAUCGUUUUCAAUGAUUGAUUAUUAAUUGUACAUUUGAUUGGCACUUUUGUUCCUAUGAUGGAUUGAAUUACGAAUAAAUAAUAAAUAAAUCAAAUCAAAUUAAUUUAAUCACACUCA